GGGGCUAGAGUAGAGAUGGGGCUAGGGGCUAGAGUAGAGAUGGGGAUAGGGGCUAGAGUAGAGAUGGGGCUAGGGGCUAGAGUAGAGAUGGGGCUAGGGGCUAGAGUAGAGAUGGGGAUAGGGGCUAGAGUAGAGAUGGGGCUAGGGGGCUAGAGUAGCGAUGGGGCUAGGGGCUAGAGUAGAGAUGGGGCUAGGGGCUAGAGUAGCGAUGGGGCUAGGGGCUAGAGUAGAGAUGGGGCUAGGGGAUAGAGUAGCGAUGGGGCUAGGGGCUAGAGUAGAGAUGGGGCUAGGAGAUAGAGUAGAGAUGAUGCUAGGGGCUAGAGUAGAGAUGGGGCUAGGAGGAUAGAGUAGAGAUGGGGCUAGAGUAGAGAUGGGGCUAGAGUAGAGAUGGGGCUAGAUGGGGUAGAGAUGGGGCUAGGGCCUAGAGUAGAGAUGGGGCUAGGGGCUAGAGUAGAGAUGGGGCUAGGGGCUAGAGUAGAGAUGGGGCUAGGAGCUAGAGUAGAGAUGGGGCUAGGGGCUAGAGUAGAGAUGGGGCUAGGGGCUAGAGUAGAGAUGGGGCUAGAGUAGAGAUGGGGGACUAGAGUAGAGAUGGGGCUAGAAGCUAGAGUAGAGAUGGGGCUAGAGUAGAGAUGGGGCUAGGGGCUAGAGUAGAGAUGGGGCUAGGGGCUAGAGUAGAGAUGGGGCUAGAGGCUAGAGUAGAGAUGGGGCUAGAGUAGAGAUGGGGCUCGGGACUAGAGUAGAGAUGGGGCUAGGGGCUAGAGUAGCGAUGGGGCUAGAGGCUAGAGUAGAGAUGGGGCUAGAGGCUAGAGUAGAGAUGGGGCUAGGGGCUAGAGUAGAGAUGGGGCUAGGGGCUAGAGUAGAGAUGGGGCUAGGGGCUAGAGGAGGGAUGGGGCUAGAGGCUAGUGGAGAUGGGGAUAGGGGCUAGAGUAGAGAUGGGGCUAGGGGCUAGAGUAGAGAUGGGGCUAGAGAUGGGGGUAGAGAUGGGGCUAGAGUAGAGAUGGGGCUAGGAGCUAGAGUAGAGAUGGGGCUAGGGGCUAGAGUAGAGAUGGGGCUAGGAGCUAGAGUAGAGAUGGGGCUAGGG
ensembl:lncRNA